rnacentral:misc_RNA from 1 species
GAUGAAGAACGUAGCGAAAUGCGAUACGUAAUGUGAAUUGCAGAAUUCAGUGAAUCAUCGAAUCUUUGAACGCAUAUUGCGCUCUCUGGUAUUCCGGAGAGCAUGCUUGUUUGAGUAUCAGUAAACACCUCAACUUCCAUAUCUUUUUUGAAAUGGGAGUUGGACUUGAGUGAUCCCAACGCUUUUCCUCACCGAAAAGUGGCGGGUUACUUGAAAUGCAGGUGCAGCUGGACUUUUCUCUGAGCUAUAAGCAUAUCUAUUUAGUCUGCCUAAAAAACAGAUUAUUACCUUUGCUGCAGCUAACAUAAAGGAGAUUAGUUCUUGUGCUGACUGAUGCAGGAUUCACAAAGACGGCUUCGGCCGACUUUGUAAACUCGAUCUCAAAUGAAGUAAGACUACCCGCUGAACUUAAGCAUAUCAAUAAGCGGAGGA